GUCACACCAUGAGAGUUGGGAAUACCCGAAGCCUGUGAGCUAACGUUAAGAGGCAGCAGGUCGAAGGUAGAAUCAAUGAUUGGGGUGAAGUCGUAACAAGGUACC
rnacentral:rRNA from 1 species